rnacentral:rRNA from 1 species
AUUGAACGCUGGCGGCAUGCCUUACACAUGCAAGUCGAGCGGCAGCGCGGGGGCAACCCUGGCGGCGAGCGGCGGACGGGUGAGUAAUACAUCGGAACGUGUCCUUUCGUGGGGGAUAACCAGUCGAAAGACUGGCUAAUACCGCAUGAGAUCUCACGAUGAAAGCGGGGGACCGCAAGGCCUCGCGCGAUUGGAGCGGCCGAUGUCGGAUUAGCUAGUUGGGACGGGUAAACGCCCACCAAGGCUACGAUCCGUAGCUGGUUUGAGAGAACGACCAGCCACACUGGGACUGAGACACGGCCAGACUCCUACGGGAGGCAGCAGGUGGGGAAUUUUGGACAAUGGGGGCAACCCUGAUCCAGCCAUGCCGCGUGUGU